rnacentral:lncRNA from 1 species
UGCAGAGUUCAUUCACAGUAUUUCACUAUUUCUAUUUUUUUUUGCAUUUAUUAAACGUUUAUUGCAAACCUAAUAAUUUCCAUGAACUAUGCCAGGAUGGGAAUAUUAAAACAAAUAGAAUAAUCUCAUUCUGCUGAACAUUUUUUUAAAUUUUUACUGAAAUAUAGUUGGUUUACAGUGUUAUAUUACUUUCAGGUUAUUAUUUCUCCCCCUUUUCCCCCUUGAUAACCAUAAGUUUGUUUUCUGUGAUUCUUUCUGUUUUGUAAAUAAGUUCAUUUGUAUCUGUUUUUCUUAGAUUCCACACAUAAGUGAUAUGAUAUUUAUCUUUCUCCAUCUGGUUUAUUUCACUUAGUAUGAUAAUCUCUGGGUCCAUCCACAUUGCUGCAAAUGGCGCUAUUUUAUUCUUUUUCAUUGCUUAGUAAUAUUACAUAUAUAUACACACCCCCACAUCUUUAUCCAUUCAUCUGUCUUGGCUAUUGUAAAUAGUGCUGCUUUGAAUAUUGGGGCACAUAUAUCAUUUUGAAUUAUAGUCUUGUCUACAUAUAUGCCCAGGAGUGGGAUUGCAGGGUCAUAUGGUAGCUUCGUUUUUAGUUUUUUUAAGAAAACUCCAUGCUGUUCUCCACAGUGGCUACCAAUUUACACUCCCACCAAGAGUGUCGGAGGGUUCCCUUUUCUCCACACCCUCUCCAGCAUGUAUUAUUUAUAGGCUUUUAUUUUUGUCUUUUUAGAGCCACACCCACGACACAUGGAGGUUCCCAGGCAAGGGUCAAAUUGGAGCUGUAGCCACUGGCCUACGCCACAGCAAUGCAAAAUCCAAGCCACAUCUGCAACCUACACCAGAGCUCAUGGCAACUCCAGAUCCUUAACUCACUAAGCAAGGCCAGGGAUCGAACCUGUGUCCUCAUGGAUGCUAGUCAGAUUCAUUUUUGCUGAGCCGACAGGAACUCCUAGACUUUUUCAUGAUCACCAUUGUGACCAGUGUGAGGUAACACCUCAUUGUAGUUUUGAUUUGCAUUUCUCUAAUAAUUAGUGAUACUGAGCAUCUUUUCAUUUGCCUUUGGGCCAUCUGUCUGUCUUUGGAGAAAUGUCUUUUUAGAUCUUUGCCCAUUUUUUUUUUAUUGGAUUGUUUGUUUUUUGGAUACUGAACAGUAUGUAUAUGCUGAUUCUGUAUACUGGAGAUUAAUCCCUUGUCAGUCACAUCACUUGCAAAUAUUUUCUCACAUUCUGAAGGCGUUUUGUUUUGUUUAUGGUUUUCUUUGCUGUGUAGAAGCUUUCCAAUUUAAUUAGAUCCCAUUUGUUUGUUUUUAUCUCAAUUAUUCUAGAGAUGGAUCCAAAAAGAUAUUAUUGCUGCCACUUAUAUCAAAGAGUAUUCUGCCUAUGUUUUCCUCUAGGAGUUUUAUAGUAUCAGGUUUUAAUCCAUUUUUUUGCAGCAACAGAGACAUCCAUGGUUUAAUGAAUCUUACACGUGGAAGCAAGAUCCUGGAGCAACACCCCACCUUAUGUGGCUGACAGCAGAUAGGACAUAAUGGAAGUCUUCACUCCAUUUUGAGUUUAUUUUUGUGUAUAGUGUUAGAGAAUGUUCUAAUUUCAUGUUUUUACAUGUAGCUGUCUAGUUUUCCCAGCACCACAUAUUGAAGAGACUGUCUUUUCUCCAUUGUGUAUCCUUGCCUCCUUUGUCAUAGAUUAACCAUAGGUGUAUGGGUUAUUUCUGAGCUUUCUAUCCUGUUCCAUUGAUCUAUAUGUCUGUUUUUGUGCCAAUACCAGACUGUUUUGAUGGCUGUGGUUUUGUAGUACAGUUUGAAGUCAGGGAGCCCAUUCUUUCAACUCUGUUUUUCUUUUGCAGAAUUGCUUUGGUUAUUCAGGGUCUUUUGCAUUUCUAAACAAACUUUAAAAUUUUUUGUUCUGGUUCUAUGAAAAAUGCCAUUGGCAAUUUGAUAGGGAUUGCAUCAAAUCUGUAGAUUGUCUUGGGUAGUAUAGUCAUUUUGACAGUAUUUGGUUCUUCCAAUCCAAGAAUAUCAUAUAUCUUUGUAUUUGUAUGUAUCAUUUUUAAUUUCUUUCAUCAGUGUCUUAGUUUUCAGAGUAUGUCUUUUACCUCCUUAGAUAGGCUUCUUCCUAAGUAUUUUAUACUUUCUGACACAAUGGUAAAUGGGAUUGUUUCCUUAAUUUCUCUUUCUAAUCUUUCAUUGUUAUUAUAUAGAAAUGCAAGAGACAUUUCUGUGUAUUAAUUUUAUAUCCAGCAACUUUACCAAAUUCAUUGAUGAGUGCCAGUAGUUUUCUGGUAGCAUCUUUAGGAUUCUUCCUGAUUAAAGGAAGCCCUCAUAGAAGAGUGGGGGCAUAAAAUAGGGAAGAGAAGGAAACCAAUAUACAUGCACUAACAAACAAGUUACUGCCCUUGGCAACUUUGAAUCAAUCUCAGUAGCAGUCUUUCGGAGACUGUGGAAUACAACUCAGACUUUUCCACCUGAGGGGCUAGGAAGCUAGAGUAUUUAUUCUCCAACUCCCAUCCAUAAUUGGCUGAGGGCUGCUCUUCAUUUUGUUUUUUUCCUGAGAGAGAGCCCUCACGUGGAGAGUUAAAGAAGUAGAAAUAAGACACAGUUGGCAAGUAUGGGAUGGUGAAUGCCAAGGGCUUAAGUUAUUGCACCAACAGAAUUUAUUUCAGGUAAGUCUCGACCACCCCAUGAAACAAGGGCUUGUAAGAAAUAUGUAGCCUGAGUUAUUUAAGGGGAAAGAAGUUACAUUUGUUAUAUACAGGAUUUUGUGAAUGAAAAUUUAUAUACCUUACAACUGCAUUCAUAGUUCAUUCUGAUAUAGGAAAAUCAAUUCAGAUUGUUGCUGUGUAUACAACACCAGAGCCAUGUGAAGGACUGGUCUGGAGAUGAGGAUUUGCAGUAUGGCUCCUAGUGAGCCUCGUUUUCUCCCUUGGUAAAAAAGCAAGCACUUAAUUCUAAGGAGUUUAAUUUCUGUUAAAAGUAUUAAACUUCUAGGCUAAGAGGAAUUAUAAAAUGACACCAUAAAAGUUGACAGAUCUCAAUUUACUGGUAAAGAAAUACAAAUGGCACAUAUCAGAACUGCAUUAGCCAAGACCCUAUAAUUACGGAUAUUUAAUAAAAUUAAUGUAAUGGCCAAUAAUCCAAAAUUUUAAAAGCACAUGUGAGAAUCAGAUAAAAUGGAAUAAGAGCAGAGUUCAUUUUAGAUUUUUAAGGAAAUUAUAGACUAAUGAUGUCUGCACCAAUCUUAUGACAAAACUCCCCCAGAGCUCAUAAACAUUCUGAACUGAAUCUGAAACUCUACACUAAACCAGAUAUAGAAUACUUUUAUGUUUAAGGGCACAACAACAAUUUUAUUUAUUUGAGAGGAAUAAGCACAAGGAGCUUCAAAAAGACAGUAAUAUGGUAGAAUAGAAUUAAUAAAAGGCUUUAGUCAGAAGAUCUAGGUUUUAGUUUUAUCUUUAGCACUUAUGUGAAUAGGAAAACCUGAGGAAGUGUCUAAGCUCCACUGAGCCUAUUUCCUGAAAGUAAUAACAAUGACAACCUUCUAUCCACAUUAUUUGUUUUAUUUUUUAUUACUCAAAUGAAUUUAUCACAUCUGUAGUUGUAUAAUGAUCGUAACAAUCUGACUUCACAGGAUUUCCAUCCCACAGCCCAAGCACAUCCCCCCACUCCCCAAACUGUCUCCUCCAGAGACUAUAAGUUUUUCAAUGUCUGUGAGUCGGCAUCUGUUCUGCAAAGAAGUUCAGUCUGUCCACAUUAUUAACUGAGACAGUAUACAUGAAGUUCCCCUGUGGCUCAGCGGUAAUGAACCCGACUAGUAUCCAUGAAGUUGAGGGUUCAAUUCCUGACCUCACUCAGUGGGUUUAGGAUCCAGCAUUGCCAUGCGCUGUGGUGUAGUUUGCAGACGUGGCUUGGAUCUGGCGUUGCUUGAUAGGCUGUGGCAUAGGCUGGCAGCUGCAGCUCCAAUCUGACCCCUAG